AUUGAACGCUGGCGGCAUGCCUUACACAUGCAAGUCGAACGGUAACAGGUCUUCGGAUGCUGACGAGUGGCGAACGGGUGAGUAAUACAUCGGAACGUGCCUAGUAGUGGGGGAUAACUACUCGAAAGAGUGGCUAAUACCGCAUGAGAUCUACGGAUGAAAGCAGGGGAUCGAAAGACCUUGUGCUACUAGAGCGGCCGAUGGCAGAUUAGGUAGUUGGUGGGAUAAAAGCUUACCAAGCCGACGAUCUGUAGCUGGUCUGAGAGGACGAUCAGCCACCCUGGGACGGAGAACCGGCCCAGACUCCUACGGGAGGCAGCAGUGGGGAAUGUUGGACAAUGGGCGAAAGCCUGAUCCAGCAAUGCCGCGUGCAGGAUGAAGGCCUUCGGGUUGUAAACUGCUUUUGUACGGAACGAAAAGCCCUGGGUUAAUACCCUGGGGUCAUGACGGUACCGUAAGAAUAGGCACCGGCUAACUACGUGCCAGCCGCCGCAGUAAAAC
rnacentral:rRNA from 1 species